rnacentral:tRNA from 1 species
GGGUCGCUAGCUCAACUGGCAGAGCAUUCGGCUGAUUAGCGCGUCCGCUCCCCGCCCUGUGCGGGCACAUGGAGGCGCUUCCUUCAUCUCUGGGAUCGAAGGGUUCGGGGUUCGAAUCCCCGGCGGCCCC